CUACGGGUGGCUCCAGUGGGGAAUAUUGCGCAAUGGGCGAAAGCCUGACGCAGCGACGCCGCGUGAGGGAUGAAGGUCUUCGGAUUGUAAACCUCUUUCAGCAGGGACGAAGCGAAAGUGACGGUACCUGCAAAAGAAGCACCGGCUAACUACGUGCCAGCAGCCGCGGUAAUACGUAGGGUGCAAGCGUUGUCCGGAUUUAUUGGGCGUAAAGAGCUCGUAGGCGGUUAGACACGUCGGAUGUGAAAACUGGGGGCUCAACCCCCAGCCUGCAUUCGAUACGGUCUGACUAGAGUGUGGUAGGGGAAACUGGAAUUCCUGGUGUAGCGGUGAAAUGCGCAGAUAUCAGGAGGAACACCGAUGGCGAAGGCAGGUUUCUGGGCCACCACUGACGCUGAGGAGCGAAAGCGUGGGGAGCGAACAGGAUUAGAUACCCCCGUAGUC
rnacentral:rRNA from 1 species